CCUACGGGUGACAGCAGUGAGGAAUAUUGGUCAAUGGGCGCGAGCCUGAACCAGCCAAGCCGCGUGCGGGAAGAAGGUACAGUGUAUUGUAAACCUCUUUUGUCAGGGAACAAAGGCGGGGACUAGUCCCCGGAUGAGGGUAUCUGAAGAAAAAGCAUCGGCUAACUCCGUGCCAGCAGCCGCGGUAAUACGGAGGAUGCGAGCGUUAUCCGGAUUUAUUGGGUUUAAAGGGUGCGCAGGCGGCCGGUUAAGUCAGCGGUAAAAGCCCGGGGCCCAACCCCGGCGAGCCGUUGAAACUGGCGGGCUGGAGUUGGAGAGAAGUACGCGGAAUGCGCGGUGUAGCGGUGAAAUGCUUAGAUAUCGCGCAGAACCCCGAUUGCGAAGGCAGCGUACCAGCUCCACACUGACGCUGAGGCACGAAAGCGUGGGUAUCGAACAGGAUUAGAUACCCGAGUAGUC
rnacentral:rRNA from 1 species